rnacentral:rRNA from 1 species
AUUGAACGCUAGCGGCAUGCCUAACACAUGCAAGUCGAGCGGCAGCACAGUAGGGGUAACCUUGUGGGUGGCGAGCGGCGCACGGGUGCGUAACGCGUAGGAAUCUGCCUCAUUGUGGGGGAUAACCCGGGGAAACUCGGGCUAAUACCGCAUAAUCACUACGGAGCAACGUGGGGGACCUUCGCGCCUCACGCAAUGCGCUGAGCCUGCGUUGGAUUAGCUAGUUGGUGGGGUAAAGGCCUACCAAGGCUAUGAUCCAUAACUGGUCUGAGAGGACGACCAGUCACACUGGGACUGAGACACGGCCCAGACUCCUACGGGAGGCAGCAGUGGGGAAUAUUGGACAAUGGGCGAAAGCCUGAUCCAGCAAUGCCGCGUGUGUGAAGAAGGCCUUCGGGUUGUAAAGCACUUUCGACGGGGAAGAAAUCCUUGUGUUUAAUGAGCACGAGUGUUGACGUUACCCGUAGAAGAAGCACUGGCUAACUCUGUGCCAGCAGCCGCCGUAACAC